GGAGGUAUGGCUCAAAAGGUAGAGUGUCAGCCUAGAGCAAAAAAGCCACAUGAGAACGUGAAGCCCUGAGUUCAAGCCCCAGUACCACCA
rnacentral:tRNA from 1 species